UAAAUGUUAAUUUUUUCUCUCUGGUAUAGAAAGUAAAUACUUUUUGGUGUUUAGUCAUAGUAUAGUUGACAUUUUUCAAAGGUCAGUGAUAGACUCUAAAUAAAUAUAAAAGUUGUCUGAAUUUAGCGUGUUGCUUUCCUGUUCUUUUACAGAGCAGAUUACCUUUAAAAGACUUUGUUUCUAGUUAGCCAGGAAAAGACUGGAUCAGGCCAAGGUCCAAGCCCUUUACUUGGCUGAUUACCACCAGUAUGACCCUAAGUUACUUAACCUUUUUUAGACACUUCCCUCAGAUAUUAAACAGAAAUAAAAGCAGUACCAAUUUUAUGAGUGUUCUAAGGAUACCAUGAAACUCAGCAGAGGGACCCUGCUAUAAGGGUGCCCGUUGCACUCUACCCUGAACGACAGCAUGGCGUCCACAGAGCAGGAGCUCUGAGGGAAGACUGCUUUAAAACCCUGCUCCAUGAUAUUCACGUUACUCAACUUCAGCGGGUUAUUAACCACUCCGUGCCUCAGUUUCCUUGUCUGCCAAAUAGUAGUGAUUAUUAAGUUAGUACAUCUAAAAUGCUCAAGACAGUAUCUGAUUCAUAUGGCACUUCCUAAGCUAAGAUGUCACCGAUAGUAACACAUACCAUUAUUGGUGUCACUAACAAAAAUGCUGAGAAUUAUAAAACGCAUCCUGAUUUUCAAGAUGUAAACUGCAUGAAAAUAGGUCUAAGAAUUGAUGAAAUGUCGUGGUAAGCACUCAAAAUGUUUACCAUUUUUAGGAAAACUAGGAAAUGAGACCCCCUCUGCCUACUUUCAACCACAUGUAAUCCUAGAUGAAUGACCUUGGAGUGAAGGACAGAACUUCUAAAACUCCUUCUCUUCAGUAUUUUCCCAGGCACAGGUCUUGUCAAUGUGAAGCUACUGAAGCUACAACUCACACGGCUCCAUCAUAGACUCGGCUCGAAGAAUGACCUAAGUCCUCUCUCCCCAUCCUGAGUCUCAGCUAAUUGGCACUUCUGCUUAACUCCUACAUUGAAUCAGAAGGUAUGCAGACGUAAAAGAGGUAAGAAUGCAUUCAGUAUGUAGCGAAGAGACGUGAGUGUGUCUUAAACCAUAUUCAAAAUAAGUGCAACUGGUAGGGUAGGUCAUCAUCCUGUUGGGACUGGCACCAGCCCAAUCCAGAUCAGAAGCCAGUCAUAAACACCUCCAACAGCGGCACCAAGGUUCACAGCCACACUUUCUUCAAUGUUCAAAUGAUAGUAACCCUAAAUUUUCCAUUUGCCCUGAUUAUAAGGAAUUCAGUCUUUUCUAGAGCUUAGCUUGCCAAAUAUACCCAAGGGUCUCCUAAAAUUGCUUAUUUGUCCAAAGAUCAUGCUUAUCUGCUUGCUGCUGCACAAAUCACCUGUGUUUCAGGAGUUCGGGUGUUCAGGUGCGCCCCUACCGGCAGAACUCGCCCACUGCAGCUGCCCCGUGAAUUCAAUAUAGGAGAAAAUAAAAGCUACUCUGGCAUCGAUAUGAAAUUCUAGCCUAUUUUAUAGGCUGUGUGUAAAAUGUGGAUUUCACUAAGAAUGUGGGAAACUGGAAAGAGUAUGUCCCACCCUAAUAAUAAAAGAAGACACAUAAUCUACAAAACCGUAACUUUUCUUGAACCCAUCAAAGCUAAGGUUAUAGGGCAACCAACUAGUCUGAAAUCUGAGUAAACACAGUAACUUUCAAGGAGAGACAAGAGUCAGACCCCAACUUUCCUGGGGCAGAAUGUGGAAGAAAGAUAGGGCUGACAUGCAUGUGGGCAAGAAGUGUGGAAGGGUCACCAAAUCCUGAUCAGGGCAUAGAUGAAAACCCACUGCAUCUGGGAAAAGGAAACAGAAAAAGCAAGAAAUCACUUUGGGCCAUUUGGUGUUCUCUAUAGCUGCGGGAGAAGCAGGGUCACUAGGAAAUUUCUACCCCAGACACUUAGAGACACAAAGCCUACCAAAUACUGAGGUUGAACCAGUACAAGAGAGAAUAACAACCACUCCCGCAACACCACCAUCAAGUAAAAACUAACAGCAGUCCACUACUGGGAGAGAAGCAAGAACAUGGAGAGAAACACUCAUCUGAUGAAGACUUGGAAGCAACUGUUAUACAAAUGCUCCAACAGAUAAUCAUGAACACUCUUAAAACUAAAAGAAAGUUUAAAAAGUUCAACAAAAAGAUAUAAAGCAUAAAAAACUGACAGUUAAGGAACUAAAGAAUUUAACAGCAGAAAACUCAUCGGGAUGAAUAGGAGAGAAUUAUAAUAAUAAAAGAAAGAAUCAAUGAAGUUGGACAUAGAGCAAUAGAAAUAAUCCAGGACAGUUGGUAAGUGCAUUUGUGGUGAACAUAGCAUAAUGCAUAAACCUGUGAAAUCACUUAGGUGUAUACCUGAAACUAAUGUAACAUUGUGUGAUAACUCUACUAAAAUUUUCAGAAGUAAUACAUUUUUUAAAGUAAAAGUAAUCCAAUUUUUACAAUAAAGAUUUCAGUCUAGAUUUCAAUAUCUCGGAAAAAUAGCUUUCAGGACUGAACAUGAAAUAAAAAACAUUUUCAAAUGUUUCAAAUGAAGUGUAGCAUUUCAAGUAACUAUAGCAUAUACCAGAAGGUCUCCUCUCAAAGAAUUGCUGAAGGUAAAGGAAAAUAAGGCAGAAGAAAACCUGGAACAUCAGGAAUAAAAGAAGAGCAAUAGAAAUGUAAAUAUUUGGGCAAAUAUGAUAGACUAUUCUUCUCUCCUAUUGUGUUCUUUAAAAUAUGGUUGAUGGUUGAAAAUAGAAAUUAUAACAUUUCCUAAGAGUUGUGUCAACAGAGGUAGAUAUAAUAUAGAAAACAAUGAUAACAUGAAUGGAAAGAAAAAAGAUCUAUAGGUGGUAAUAUUUCUACAUUACACUUGAAAUGGUAAAAUAUUAAUUCUAAUAUGUUGAUAAAAGUAAGGUAUGUACAUUGUAAUUCCUAGAGCUAUGACUAAAUACAAAGAAACAAUAGUCAAAGUCACAAUACAUAAAACAGAAUACUAAAGUUUGUUUAAAAUAUCCCCAAAAAGGCAGCAAAGACAACAGGGAAGGAAAAACUUGGUAAACAAAUAAAAACAAUUAAUAAAACAACUGUCCUAAAUCCAAACAUAUCAAUAAUUACAUUAAAUGUAAAUGGUCUAAAAAAGUAAAAUAGAUAUAAAUAGUCUAACCACCAUUUAGAGAAAAUUUAGAGAGAAACUGUCAGAACGGAUAAAAACAUGACUCAACAACAUGUUCAUAAGACAUGUCAAAUUAAUGAUAAGGUAAGUUUAAAAGUAAAACGUGAGUCAAAAAGAAAAACAGAAUGACUAUAUUAAUAUCAGAUAAAAUAGGUUUCAAAGCAGAAAAAAAUCAUUAAGGGUUAAGAGGGACAUUCCAUAAUCAUAAAA